UUCACCCUUUUCAAAAUGCAUGAUAGUAGCUAACUAGCUAGCUACGGGGAAAAUGCAUUGUGAAGUCGUUUUCGGGUUGCUUGCUUGUUAGCCAAGUUGUCUUGAGUUCCCACUUUAGCUAGUUUAGUUUAGCUGCUAGUUUACCAACAGUAGAUUCGGGGACGUGUUUAAUAAGGCCUCUAGUGGAAUUAAAUGUCUGCACUUUCAGUUUUGAAGUUGCUUUUUACAGUUUGUCAGAUUGAAGCGUUAACGUUACAUAUACUUUUAGCUAACUACAGUGUCUAGUUAGGUAAUAAUGUAGCUAGUAGCUACAGUGUCUAGUUAGGUAAUAAUGUAGCUAGUAGCUACAGUGUCUAGUUAGUCUGACUAUGGCCUAGUUAGGUAAUAAUGUAGCUAGUAGCUACAGUGUCUAGUUAGUCUGACUGGCCUAGUUAGGUAAUAAUGUAGCUAGUAGCUACAGUGUCUAGUUAGUCUGACUGGCCUAGUUAGGUAAUAAUGUAGCUAGUAGCUACAGUGUCUAGUUAGUCUGACUAUGGCCUAGUUAGGUAAUAAUGUAGCUAGUAGCUACAGUGUCUAGUUAGUCUGACUGGCCUAGUUAGGUAAUAAUGUAGCUAGUAGCUACAGUGUCUAGUUAGUCUUGACUAUGGCCUAGUUAGGUAAUAAUGUAGCUAGUAGCUACAGUGUCUAGUUAGUCUGACUGGCCUAGUUAGGUAAUAAUGUAGCUAGUAGCUACAGUGUCUAGUUAGUCUGACUAUGGCCUAGUUAGGUAAUAAUGUAGCUAGCUACAGUGUCUAGUUAGUCUGACUGGCCUAGUUAGGUAAUAAUGUAGCUAGUAGCUACAGUGUCUAGUUAGUCUUGACUAUGGCCUAGUUAGGUAAUAAUGUAGCUCGCUACAGUGUCUAGUUAGUCUGACUGGCCUAGUUAGGUAAUAAUGUAGCUAGUAGCUACAGUGUCUAGUUAGUCUGACUA